rnacentral:rRNA from 1 species
GCGAGAAACCUUAGCAAUGUGCGAAAGCACGACUGGGUCAGUCCGAGUGAUUCCUGAUAAAGGAGUCUUUUGCUUGUCCUAAAAGCACAGGUGAAUAAGGGGUGGGCAAGUCUGGUGUCAGCCGCCGCGGUAAUACCAGCACCUCGAGUGGUCAGGACGUUUAUUGGGCCUAAAGCAUCCGUAGCCGGCUUUGCAAGUCUUCGGUUAAAUCCACCUGCUCAACAGAUGGGCCGCUGGAGAUACUACAAAGCUAGGGAGUGGGAGAGGCAGACGGUAUUCAGUGGGUAGGGGUAAAAUCCUCUGAUCCAUUGAGGACCACCAGUGGCGAAGGCGGUCUGCCAGAACACGUUCGACGGUGAGGGAUGAAAGCUGGGGGAGCAAACCGG